rnacentral:tRNA from 1 species
GGGUGGUUAGCUCAGCUGGUUAGAGCGCUACGUUGACAUCGUAGAGGUCACAGGUUCGAAUCCUGUAUCACCCA